GCUCCUAUCGUCUAGUGGUUAGGACGCCAGGUUCUCAUCCUGGUAACCCGGGUUCGAUUCCCGGUAGGAGCG
rnacentral:tRNA from 1 species